UACUCUGUCACAGCCCCUGUUGCCCUGCGAUCUGUAGGUCCUUGGGGACGCAUAGUUAAGGUGCCAGGACAUCCUGGAAGCUGGGAAAUGGCUGAAUGCUAUCCCAGUGAUUGUACGUGCCCUGUUUGCUGAAUCUACUCAUCCUUAAGGGUAUGUAUUCAUUUCGUACCACCGUAGUGGAAGAGAGACUAUCCCUAUCAAUACACCUGGUAACAUUCCCAACAGUAAGUCGUGAGAUUCUGCUUGAAAUCACCUCUCAGACAAAUAAAAAACAGUCCUGGGAAAUGUACGACACUCAUUCUGCUAAAGAAAUAGGCAAGUAACAAUUUUUAACAAGUGAAAUAUAUUACUACUUAAUUUUAUUCAAAAUUCACCAACUUAAUGUGCUUUAUAAAUAUUUUCAUGCCUUUCAAGCUCUACUGAUAAAACAUAGUUUACAGUUAAUUAAAAAGUGAAGUUAAAGUAAGUACAAAAACAUUUUCAAGGUGACAAAAUUAGAAGGUGACAGUGCCGAUUGAAACACAGACAUAUCAGACCCAAGGGUCAAGUCAAGCCAUUCUA
ensembl:lncRNA novel transcript